AAGGAGGUGACAGAGUGGUUAUGUAAUUGGCUUGAAACCAGUUGAUGGGGGUUCAAUUCCUCCCCUCCUCG
rnacentral:tRNA from 1 species